UUGAAUAGGAAACGUUCAAAAUGAAAGUAAUACUAGCAAGUGUAGUCACGUUGUUAUACGUGGCUUUUACAUUACAACAGUCGCUGUCAGAUUGCACCGGGCCAAAUGAAUCUUUCGUGCAAUGCAAGAGUAAUUGUACCGUCGACACGUGCGAUGCAAUCUCUAAGCCAGUGGUCUGUGAUAAUCUGUUCAAUUGCGCCCCCGGGUGCGUUUGCAAUUUAGGUUUCUUCAGAAAGAACGCAUCUGCAGAUUGCCAACCGUUGAUAAAUUGCUUCUUUUAAGAUAACACAAAACCUGAAUUUUGCAUACAAUGGACGGUCUUCUAAAAAUAAAAAAUGUAUACAUAAAGCAUAAAAUUGUAAUUUGAAACUCUGAAUAUGUUAAAAAGAUUAGUCGUAGUUUUAUUUUCCCAGUAUACUUUAGUUAUAUUAUUUCUACAAGAUUUAUUAUCAUAGAUUAUAAAAUGCCAAAAAAAAAACUACGACACCUGUCAUUCGCCCAUAAAAAUAUAUAAAAAGAAACGCCAUCAAUUCAAAUGAGACAGAAAUAUAAAUAAAAACAACUAUCCUUGUC